UGGUGCCAAAUGCAACUGAUGGAACUGAUUUGAAACCUCUAAGAGGGAAAACACUCCCGUUAUUUGUAGACCCAGAGGUAGCGGUACCUGAUGUACUGAAACAAGCUGUCCAGAAAAUGAGAACAUUUAACAAGGACAUGCCAGAAGAACCGUACGUCCGUUUGUAUCCAGACCGCUCAGAGGUGGUCCAUGUGCCUGGAUCAGAAAAAACAUUCAAAUUGGCAGAAUAUAAAAAGGACCUAGGAAAGGCAUAUUCCAGGAUCACUUUUUACAUAUGCCUAGAAACACACUUUAAAGGAGGUUUUUGAACCACAAAACGUACUCCCAAACUCAAACCUAAAGAUGAAAGAGAUGCACCAGGACAUUCAGCAACAAUUCAGCCUGGACAGAUAGUAAUAUCUGAUAUUGAGGAUAUGGAUCCACCUGAAACAAAUCCAGACAAGACUUCUUGCUACAGUAAAAACACAGACCUGUAUGCACCAGGUAUUGAGGACGAGGAGCUGGUUGCAGUCCAUGUGGAGAAUUUCCAACACACAGCAGUGGAGGAGAACAUUACACUAGCUGACAUUGUGGCAAACCUGUCACUUCCUAUUGAUCACAAAACAGUCAGCAGGUUCAACAUCUCAAAGACUAAUGUUUGGGAUGGAGCAGUCAGAGGUUUUAAGCAUACAACAUAUUCUGAAACCUGUGACAUGCUGGUCAAAUUUACUGAUGAUGCUGGUGUUUAUGAGGAGGGAAUUGACACAGGUGGUCCCAGAUGAGAAUUUUUAACUCUGCUAAUGAAACACCUGAAAGACUGGCCCAUUUUUGAUGGACCAGAAGGACAUCGGUUCUUGGUCUACAAUGCAAAUGCUGUUAGGGAGGAUGAAUACUACCUGGCAGGAAAAAUGAUCACAGUGUCAGUUGCACAUGGGGGUCCAGGACCCCAUUUCCUGUCAGAAGAUCUUGUACAUUGUACAUCUUGCAGGCCAGCCUCCAUUCAAAUCAACAGUUAAUUCAAUAACUGAUGAAGAAACAGGGAAAGCUUUGCGAGAGAUUGAGAAUGCUGCUUCGUUGCUCUGCGUGAAUGUAUCAUGAGACACAGUACAAUGUUACAGACAGCAGGUUGUCUGAGACAUGUGGCUGCUGUGGAAGAAAAGAAAUCGUGGCAGACUACCUCCGAUGGUAUAUCAUUGACCGCAACUCAUAUGUAAUUGACAGAUUCAAAGAUGGUCUUUCAGCCCUUCAGUUUUCGAGUGCACUACAGCAACACCCUACUUUGCUGGCCCCUGUCCUUUGCCACUCAGAAAAGCAACUGACUGGCUUUGAACUUGAGAGACUUUUCAAACCUGACCUCAGUCCUUCAGGAAGUAACCGGAGACUAAAUGAAAGUCAAACCUUGGCCUACUGGGCAGACUAUCUCUUUGAUUGUGAAGGUUUGUAAGCUUUUUUUGUAACUAGUUGAGAAACCACAUUACCAUGGUGUAUCUGACUCUAAAAACGUUUGU